UUUUUAGCAUGUUUUUAGAAUCAUUUAACUUUUUGCAUUAAUCUUUUAUGGCCAUCUGUCGCUUAUCAAUUAUCAGUAGGUGACUAAAAUAAAUGUCCGCCAGGUGUCGGAGUGUCUAUUGAUUCGCGAGUGAAUUUUGGUCAUUCGUUUCCGAGACACUCAGUGAGGACGUAUUACAAUAUGGCAUUUCCAUUAGAAAGAAAUCUAGCCUGUAAUUUAAAAUCUGCCAAAUCACGUUAUCAGUUAUCACGUGUGGCCUGAAACUGAUGUCGUUGCUUGCUCUUGCUACUUGUAUCGGUUGUAUGUACAACCCAUGCAAGUCUCUACUUGACUGCAAAACAUCUGAGUAUGAGCUGCAGCCAGUUGGUGAAGGUGUACACAAACCCAAAUCGUUUCAACUGAAGAAUUUUUGCAGCGGAUGGUGGAAUAUACGCGUAGAAUAUAAAUUACAAAGUAUUAGGUCUGGAAGAAGAAAAGGUUGAGGCAGAACCCACUUCCAAAGGAGAAGAAACGAACUGAGCUUUUCUCGGUUAGCCUGUGCCGUUUCCCCUGACCAAACUUCUUCGAUUCUUCUCUAUGCGCACCUCUGCGUGGAUCUUGACGUCCAGAUAGAAGAUGCCGUUCGACUCCUUCAGCAAGUUGAAACGCUGCACGAUCAUCGACUAAUGGAAAAAUGCAUUCAGAAAUUAAACCAGAAAAAGUCGCUAGUCACAAAAAAAAAAAGGUUAUCCACCUUCGAUCAUCAUCCGUUAAAUACGCGGUUGGACUUGUUAUGAUAUACCAACAUAGCGCUUGUAAGCCACCGUUACUCUGUGUAAUCGACUCCUGGACACACCAUGAUCCACAGAGAAUAUUUUGUAACGUCCUUUUCGACGAUGGGGGAUUCUUCCUUCGUUGCUGAAGCCAUCCGAAUAUCGGGCUUUCUUUUGAACGUUUCAACGGCCGCCGAUAAUCCAAUGCUGAGAUGAUGACCCUCUUCCCAGAGGAUGAAGCCUUUGCUCUUUCCCUGGUCGGAUAAAAUUAUACGUAUUAUCGUAUCGUAUUAUGUAAUUGUCUGCCUUUUACGUACAUUAGCUGCUAAAUAGUUUCAUCAAAUUUUACGAGAAAUCAAAAAAUUAUUUAGGCCAUUCAGGUUGUUUUUCUUAAUUCAACCAAUGUACAACUGUAUGUAAAAUUGUAAAUCAGGUUCUUGUUUCACCUUUUCAUUCAUCAUUUUGUAGCUUAAAUCUUGUGUUAUUUUGCAAACAAUUUUAACUUUCACUUUACUUAAAAAUUCCAGACAGAACUCCCUCUUACCUCUGGGUAUCAAUCUGGGUCGCCUCUGACCCCAAUUAAGAAGUAAAGGCCCCCUGUGUAAGAAAGGUAGGCAAAAGGAAGGAAUCCAACAUAGAAGACUUUAACGUAAACAGAAAUCUAAAAGAUUUAUUUUAUAACAACUUACAAGUGAUUUUUUUGCUACAAAAUAGCACUUAUAAACCAAUAAAAUCAGACAAGGAAGAGCAUUCACAAAGACAAAUAAGUGGAAGAACACAACUAAUUAAAUGAGACACAACACCCGUUAUUUUAUUAGGUGACAUGUUGCUUUCUCACCCUCGAUAAUAACAGCGUCAUUAUUUUUUGACGCAGAAAAAUUUGUUGAUCUAGUUAGUAGUUGUCAAUGAAAUCACUCCUAUAUCAUGUAUCAGGUUCAGGUGUCUUAAUCUUACUGCAUGGAGCCAUGGAUGACAUUGGAAACAGGAGAUUUGACAUGGUGGUCAAGUUAACAAACAACACAUUGAAUUGUGGCACCACAGACAGUAACAGCUUCAAGCACACCUUUCACCACCUCCAUUAACAGCCUGAGCAUCAAUGGCCAUUGAAACCUACAGAGAAAGAUUCAUCACAAGGCAAAGUGCAGAAUAAUAGAAAUAAAGUGAAAAGUUAAAAAAAGUGACACGAAAAGGUAGCAGUAUACGAUAUUUCGUCAAGAAUCUGGAAUCACUAACAGUUGCCAUAGACAAGGCACAUCGUCAGAAGAAUCAAGAAUAUCAACUGUGAACUGUCAAUAAGCUGCCUUCUCGGCUUCUCCUCAUUAAACCUUGGGGAUUUCGUCUGUUGUGAUGUGUGAUGCUGCGGUGCUUUUUGGUGUUUUUGGUGAAGACGAGAUGUAAAUUUGGAGAGGGGAAUAUUACGAGGAAACGUGAAAGGGUCGUGGCCGUCGUGCAGCCUACCGUCAACUAUUUGUUCAAAAUCAUUGUAUUCUACU
rnacentral:lncRNA from 1 species